UUUGCAGAGAAAUGUGCGUUUUUCAGCUCCUGGCCAGCCGCAUCAGGGAGGCUGGAAACUGUUCAAAGCUGAGGGAAAGGAGAUGCAGAAGAACUAAUGAUGAUCUUCACACCUAGCAAUAUGGCUGCUUUCUUCUCUGUGUUCUUGGCUUAAUUCACUCAUUUUGCAAGGGUUUUCAGUCAAGCAACUGUAGAAGAGGAUUGAAAAUCCUUACUAAAGAAGGUAAGAACAUUCUAUUCAAAACCCACUGCUCUCCCCAUCUUUUGGUAAAACAAAGGUUAAGUACCGGUUAUGUUUUGGAUCAGGCACCAGCUUGAAUAAAAUACAAUGAGCUUAAGGCCUAACAACCCACAUUUCUGGCAGAUGUGGAAAAACAGAAAUUUAACUGUGAGGUGAAGUGCUUCUUGGGCCUGUGUUAUUCGGAAGAUGCAGAAACUUGGAGCUUUGUAUUACUAUCAGUUGGUUUGGUUUUCUCUCCUGACUUCUAUCUUUUCCUAAAUGACCUGUACUCAUGACAAGGAUGGGAGACACAUGGUGGGGGGAGCCGUGGGGGAGGGGUGCCAUUUGCCAAUUAGGCC
rnacentral:lncRNA from 1 species